AUUGAACGCUGGCGGCAGGCUUAACACAUGCAAGUCGAGCGGGGUGAGGUGCUUCGGUACUGAUCCUAGCGGCGGACGGGUGAGUAAUGCUUAGGAAUCUGCCAUUUAGUGGGGGACAACAUUCCGAAAGGAAUGCUAAUACCGCAUACGUCCUACGGGAGAAAGCAGGGGAUCUUCGGACCUUGCGCUAAAUGAUGAGCCUAAGUCGGAUUAGCUAGUUGGUGGGGUAAAGGCCUACCAAGGCGACGAUCUGUAGCGGGUCUGAGAGGAUGAUCCGCCACACUGGGACUGAGACACGGCCCAGACUCCUACGGGGGGCAGCAGUGGGGAAUAUUGGACAAUGGGCGGAAGCCUGAUCCAGCCAUGCCGCGUGUGUGAAGAAGGCCUUUUGGUUGUAAAGCACUUUAAGCGGGGAGGAGGCUACCUGGAUUAAUACUCUGGGAUAGUGGACGUUACUCGCAGAAUAAGCACCGGCUAACUCUGUGCCAGCCGCCGCAGUAACAC
rnacentral:rRNA from 1 species